AAUUUCUAGAUAACAAACGGUUCUUGGGGGCAUAUAUAAAUGUAUCAGAUCAAGAAAUAGUAAGUUCAUAAAGCAAUUCGUUCAGGAGAGUUUCCAUGUGAAGUAGAUGAUCUAUUUCUCUUCUUUUCAACUGAGUACAUCAGAUUUCUGGCAACGUUCAAGCAAUUGGGUAGUGUAUGGAGAUGAUUUUCUUAGUCUAGAUCUAUGGCAAAAUACGUUUUGAGAUAAGUUAUUCUGUUGGAAUUAUAUAAUGAUUAUUGAAACACAAUCUAUGAGUGAGCUUUUGCGUUAAAAUUCUAUGUUUAUAGACAUUUGUCGAGUUUUCUCAUUCAAGGUAAGAUUUUUCUCUUAUCGUAGAGAGAGGGACUCUGUAGGUUUUUGUUCGAAAUAAACUGAAUUAAAUGUUAUAAUACUUGAAAUCUUCAUAAUUAGGCUUCUUUUCAAUUCCAUAUAACAGAUUCUAGCCAAUUUUCAAGCUUUUUGAUUGGUGUACAAGGAUUAUUCUAUUCGCUCAUUCCAGAUAAUAGGAGAAAUGUUUUCAAUUAACUCAUUCAAGUGGAAUAAUAAAAUGAUUAUUGGGAUGAUAAAAAGAUUAUUGAAACACAAUCUAUGAGUAAGGUUUUACGUAAAAUUUCUAUAUUUAUAUAGACUUUCGCCAAGUUUUUGUCAUUUGAGGUUAGUUUUUUUUCUUAUCGUAGAUGAAGGGAUUUUGUAGAUUUUUGUUCAAAAUGAACUGAAUUAAAUAUUAUGAUGCUUGAA